ACAGUGCACCAAGAUGGCCGCCCCCGUGGAUCUAGAGCUGAAGAAGGCCUUCACAGAGCUUCAAGCCAAAGUUAUUGACACUCAACAGAAGGUGAAGCUCGCAGACAUACAGAUUGAACAGCUAAACAGAACGAAAAAGCACGCACAUCUUACAGAUACAGAGAUCAUGACUUUGGUAGAUGAGACAAACAUGUAUGAAGGUGUAGGAAGAAUGUUUAUUCUUCAGUCCAAGGAAGCAAUUCACAAUCAGCUGUUAGAGAAGCAGAAAAUAGCAGAAGAAAAAAUUAAAGAACUAGAAGUAAGUUUUUAUUGGCAAUAGGAGUUAACUUUUGGGAGAAAGUAGUAAUCUUAUUGUGUCAUAUUAAAUGAAAAUGUAUGCCUGCCUGCCAAAGUAAUGUCAUAUUAUUUUUAUUUUUUAUAAUUACGUUGGAGCCGUGAAGCUGUCCUAUUCAUAUUCAUGGCGCAUAUAAGACCAAAACAACAAAAAAAGGAAUAGUUCUUUGGAACUGUAGAGAAUUUUGAUAAGAUGGUUUUAACCUGAACGUAUUUUGUUCAUUGCCCUUGAAUGUGUUUAUUCUUUAAAAAAAAACAAAACCGUAAACAAGAUGUAAUGUAUAUUUAAACAACACGUGUAGUGGAUUGUGGUGGAUGGGCAGGAGAGUGGGUAAUAAUGAUAAAUUUUAGAGGAUCUUGGUAUAGGGUCUUUUUUACACAUUGUAAUUUCUUUAACCUAAAUUAGGUUCUAUAUAAGGACAAAGCAGCAAGCUGUAACCAAUUAACUAU
rnacentral:sRNA from 1 species